GCCUGGCUGGCUCAGUCGGUAAAGCAUGAGACUCCUGAUUUCAGGGUCGUGAGUUCAAGCCCCAUGUUGGGCA